GCAAACUUGGUCAUUUAGAGGAAGUAAAAGUCAUAACAAGGUUUCCGUAGGUGAACCUGCGGAAGGAUCAUUAGUGAUUGGUCGAAAGACCUUAUCCCAUCCUCACACCUGUGCACCGUGGGCUUCGGCCCUACAAACGUAGUGUCUUGAACGUAUGCAUCUUAACAAACAAAAACUUUCAACAACGGAUCUCUUGGCUCUCUAUAAGAGACAGGCAAACUUGGUCAUUUAGAGGAAGUAAAAGUCAUAACAAGGUUUCCGUAGGUGAACCUGCGGAAGGAUCAUUAGUGAUUGGUCGAAAGACCUUAUCCCAUCCUCACACCUGUGCACCGUGGGCUUCGGCCCUACAAACGUAGUGUCUUGAACGUAUGCAUCUUAACAAACAAAAACUUUCAACAACGGAUCUCUUGGCUCUCGCAUCGAUGAAGAACGCAGC
rnacentral:misc_RNA from 1 species